rnacentral:rRNA from 1 species
UUUUAAACCUAAUGGCUCUUUCAUGAUUAUAUGAUAGGUGGUGCAUGGCCGUUCUUAGUUCGUGGAGUGAUCUGUCUGCUUAAUUGCGUUUCAAAUUUUUAACCGAGGACCGGGUUUUGGUUUGGCUAGUGGUCCUACGAUGACUGUGAACUGUCAUGUCUUCGGAUGUACGACUAUCGGUCUAGGAUCACAUGACUUGCCCCUGGGACUCUUUUGAACGCAACGGACGUGAUUGCAACCCCUUGUUGAGAUUAGAGAUAGUCUCGAUAUUCACUGGCCAAACUGGCUGCUUUAUGCAGUCUUGUUGAAUGGUGGAUAAACUCGGGGGACUGCUGACUAUAACCAUUUCUCAAAACAGAGGAAGGUUGCGGCAAUAACAGG